rnacentral:lncRNA from 1 species
GAGAAUCCCAGUGGAGAUAGGGGAACCGGCCAGGCAGAGACAGCAAGGGCGGUUCAUUGCCUUUCCGUUCACCUUCACACUCCUGGGCCAGACUACACUCAGUCAUAGGAACUACUGAAGAGAUUAGUCUUCAAUAAAGACUUAAAGGUUGAGACCGAGUCUACGUCUCUCACAUGGUGCAAAGAAUCCAUUCAACCACAGUGCUCUACUGCCGCCGCUGCCACCUCUGCCGAUACAGCCACCAGCUCUACCGCCGCCAUCACUAGCUCUACCUCUACCUCUACCUCCAACACAUCUACCUCCGCCACAACCUUCACCCUGCAGCCUACCCUUGCUCCAAAUGUUGCUGCAGCAGUCCUAUUGGAGUUGUCCCCGAGGCUCCAGGAGGCUAGGCCGAGGAAGACGAAGGCAGAGUCUGCGGCGGUACUGACAUAAACAAAAAGUAGAAACAUCAACAUCAAUAGAACAAGCCACAUCAGCCACUAAAGAAGGGGAUGUGGGGUGUCUUUUCUGUGAGGAGCUGUUUUCAGUCCCAGGUGGGGACUGGAUUAGGUGGGCUCAUGAGUUGUGAUCCAAUUUUACUGGAGCUUGAUUUGUGACCUGUGUACAAAUUAGAAUUGCGCAAUAGUAGAGCAUAAUAGUUGCAACAACAAUGUUACACUGAAUUAGUUAAGUUAUGAUUUAUUGUUUUUAAAUGUUAUAUUCCAAUGCUAUUUCAUUUUAUUAGUUAUAUUCCAUUCCAAUAUUAUAUUCCAAUGAAUAUUUAUUUUUUUAUGAAUUAAAAACAACUAUUGAAAAUCUUUUGCUCCAAAAUGUCAUUUUAAAGACUGCUGGGAUUUCAAAUCUUGCAUUAUUCCAAUAAUAUUUGGUGCAAUUGUACAUAAGGGAUUGUAUGGAAAAGGAACAACAAAGAAGAACAAAGAAAAUGUAUGUGCAGGUGAGAUAAAAAAGAGACUUUACAUCAAGUCUCCUCAUAGUGCGUAUACUAAUAGUGACAUGUGCAACACCAUUACCCCCAUAUAAUUAAACUAGACUUAGCAACUAGACUUAGCUUUUAAGGAUUUCUAAAUAAAACAGAUUUAAUUAAUUUUAACACACUUAUGGGAAACCGUAUGCCAUAAUCUUCUACCGGGGAAAAUGGCCCCCCGCGUACUUACCCCGUUACUUUAAAAGAAAAACACCCCUUUUCUAAAAACAACAUUUCAUGAAAUAGCUAAAAAAAACUGUAAACUGCAGCCAUUUAUUUCUCUUUAUAGUGUAUUCGGCUAAGCAUGACCUUCCUCCACAUACCAU